rnacentral:rRNA from 1 species
UACUCCUACGGGAGGCAGCAGUAGGGAAUCUUCGGCAAUGGACGGAAGUCUGACCGAGCAACGCCGCGUGAGUGAAGAAGGUUUUCGGAUCGUAAAGCUCUGUUGUAAGAGAAGAACGAGUGUGAGAGUGGAAAGUUCACACUGUGACGGUAUCUUACCAGAAAGGGACGGCUAACUACGUGCCAGCAGCCGCGGUAAUACGUAGGUCCCGAGCGUUAUCCGGAUUUAUUGGGCGUAAAGCGAGCGCAGGCGGUUAGAUAAGUCUGAAGUUAAAGGCUGUGGCUUAACCAUAGUACGCUUUGGAAACUGUUUAACUUGAGUGCAGAAGGGGAGAGUGGAAUUCCAUGUGUAGCGGUGAAAUGCGUAGAUAUAUGGAGGAACACCGGUGGCGAAAGCGGCUCUCUGGUCUGUAACUGACGCUGAGGCUCGAAAGCGUGGGGAGCAAACAGGAUUAGAUACCCUGGUAGUCCACGCCGUAAACGACGAGUGCUAGGUGUUGGGUCCUUUCCGGGACUCAGUGCCGCAGCUAACGCAUUAAGCACUCCGCCUGGGGAGUACGACCGCAAGGUUGAAACUCAAAGGAAUUGACGGA